UUCAUCCAAAGCUAAAUAUUGGCGAGAGACCGAUAGCGAACAAGUACCGUGAGGGAAAGGUGAAAAGCACCCCGACGAGGGGAGUGAAACAGAUCCUGAAACCGGACGCCUACAAACAGUUGGAGGGCUUCGUGCCUGACAGCGUACCUUUUGUAUAAUGGGUCAGCGACUUAAUUUAACGAGCAAGCUUAAGCCGGUAGGUGUAGGCGUAGCGAAAGCGAGUCUGAAUAGGGCGCUCGAGUUCGUCGCAUGACGACCCGAAACCAGGUGAUCUAUCCAUGAGCAGGUUGAAGG
rnacentral:rRNA from 1 species